rnacentral:rRNA from 1 species
GUGACGGUACCUGCAGAAAAAGCACCGGCUAACUACGUGCCAGCAGCCGCGGUAAUACGUAGGGUGCAAGCGUUGUCCGGAAUUAUUGGGCGUAAAGAGCUCGUAGGCGGUGUGUCACGUCUGCUGUGAAAAUCCAAGGCUCAACCUUGGACUUGCAGUGGGUACGGGCACACUCGAGUGCGGUAGGGGAGAUUGGAAUUCCUGGUGUAGCGGUGGAAUGCGCAGAUAUCAGGAGGAACACCGAUGGCGAAGGCAGAUCUCUGGGCCGUAACUGACGCUGAGGAGCGAAAGCGUGGGGAGCGAACAGGAUUAGAUACCCUGGUAGUCCACGCCGUAAACGGUGGGAACUAGAUGUGGGGUCCGUUCCACGGAUUCCGUGUCGCAGCUAACGCAUUAAGUUCCCCGCCUGGGGAGUACGGCCGCAAGGCUAAAACUCAAAGGAAUUGACGGGGGCCCGCACAAGCGGCGGAGCAUGCGGAUUAAUUCGAUGCAACGCGAAGAACCUUACCAAGGCUUGACAUAUAGAGGAAAAGUGCAGAGAUGCACUCCCCGCAAGGUCUCUAUACAGGUGGUGCAUGGUUGUCGUCAGCUCGUGUCGUGAGAUGUUGGGUUAAGUCCCGCAACGAGCGCAACCCUCGUCCUAUGUUGCCAGCACGUAAUGGUGGGAACUCAUGGGAUACUGCCGGGGUCAACUCGGAGGAAGGUGGGGAUGACGUCAAAUCAUCAUGCCCCUUAUGUCUUGGGCUUCACGCAUGCUACAAUGGCCGGUACAGAGGGCAGCAAUACCGCAAGGUGGAGCGAAUCCCAGAAAGCCGGUCUCAGUUCGGAUUGAGGUCUGCAACUCGACCUCAUGAAGUCGGAGUCGCUAGUAAUCGCGAAUCAGCAACGUCGCGGUGAAUACGUUCCCGGGCCUUGUACACACCGCCCGUCAAGUCAUGAAAGUCGGUAACACCCGAAGCCGGUGGCCCAACCCUUGUGGAGGGAGCCGUCGAAGGUGGGAUCGGUGAUUAGGACUAAGUCGUAACAAGGUAGCCGUACCGGAAGGUGCGGCUG